rnacentral:pre_miRNA from 1 species
UAAAUAUCAGCUGGUAAUUCUGGGGUUAGACUCCCCCAGAGUGCUAGUUGGUAUCCA